rnacentral:rRNA from 1 species
GAUGAACGCUGGCGGCGCGCCUAACACAUGCAAGUCGAACGAUUAAAGCACCUUCGGGUGUGUAUAAAGUGGCGAACGGCUGAGUAACACGUGGGCAACCUGCCCCUCUCAUUGGGAUAGCCACGGGAAACCGUGGAUAAUACCGAAUACUUCGGGACUUCCGCAUGGAAGACUCGAGAAAGCUCCGGCGGAGAGGGAUGGGCCCGCGGCCUGUUAGCUCGUUGGUGGGGUAAUGGCCUACCAAGGCAAUGAUGGGUAGCUGGGUUGAGAGACCGACCAGCCAGAUUGGGACUGAGACACGGCCCAGACUCCUACGGGAGGCAGCAGUGGGGAAUCUUGCACAAUGGGCGAAAGCCUGAUGCAGCGACGCCGCGUGCGGGAUGAAGGCCUUCGGGUUGUAAACCGCUUUCAGCAGGGACGAGGCGAAAGUGACGGUACCUGCAGAAGAAGCCCCGGCUAACUACGUG